AAUCAACGCUGGCGGCGUGCCUCAGACAUGCAAGUCGAACGCGAAAUCCCGAGCAAUCGGGAGAGUAGAGUGGCGCACGGGUGAGUAACACGUAGGUAAUCUACCUUCGGAUGGGGAAUAACAACCGGAAACGGUUGCUAAUACCGCAUAAUGCAGCGGCACCUAAUGGUGACAGUUGUUAAAGCGGGGAUCGAAAGACCUCGCGUCUGAAGAGGAGCCUGCGGCGGAUUAGCUAGUUGGUAAGGUAAUGGCUUACCAAGGCAACGAUCCGUAACCGGCCUGAGAGGGCGGUCGGUCACACUGACACUGACAUACGGGUCAGACUCCUACGGGAGGCAGCAGUCGGGAA
rnacentral:rRNA from 1 species